CCUGCGCGGCCGGGGAAGGGGAUGGGGCUCUUGGUUUGGUCCUGCUCGACGCCCCGGCCCCCUCCCGAGCCCCGCCCAGGCGCGCCGACUCGCAGCUCCCUACCCAGUGUCGCUGGCAGCUGGAGCAGCAGCAGCAGUAGCAGCGCCGGGAGGCCCAGGGUCCGGCAGCCGCGCGCCCGCCUCCGGGCCAUGGCAGCCGCUUUGCAGGGCCCCGCUGGGCGCCCCGGGCGAGCGCUGCCCAGGCCCUGGGGAGCUGGCGAGUGCGGCUGUGGGACCUGCCGUCCCGCCAGGCGCAUUCGCUUUCGCUUUUGCUUUGGCCCCCGAAGGGCUGCGGAGAGGUGCAGAGCGGUGACAGAUUCGUGACUCAGCGUCCCCACCCCUGCUGGGGAAGGAGCCCCACCGGCCGUGCGGCCCCGCAUAGCCGCCCCUCUACUCGGGACGCCACGCGCCGUGCCCGGUGGGGUCCCAGGACCUUACCCACGCAAGCCCGGGAGCCUACCGGUUCUCCGCGCGCCUCGUGCUCCAGGACCCCCAGUGUGCGCUCGGUUCGGUGUCCAUACUGCCGAGAGAGUGGGCGAAGCCGUCGGAGAGCAGACUCUUUUCAGUCCCCUCUGUGCUCGGAUCCACUGGACCUCGCCCUGCGCUGGUCGCCUACAGCUGCGCAACUUCGACUUUCCAGGUCUCCCUCUGGGGCCCUGCGCUCAGCUUUGAGCAGCCGGCCCGGGUGAGUGCCCGUGGAGGUGUCGCCGCGGAGCGGAGACGCAGGGACCUGCCUGUGCGCUCUGGCCCAGGGAGAGCACAGCCCCUGCCACCUGAUCACUCCCGCGGCGACCGGCUGGCGCCCCAGCUCUGACUUGGCCGAAUUCCUGCUGCAGCUUUGCUUCCCAGGAAAAUGCCUGUAUUAGAAGGAGGGAGUGGGAGCGAGGAAAAGCGGGAGAGGAGCCACCAUGCUUCAUCUUUGCGCCAGGCUUCCUAGGUUCUUCCAGGCUGCCAUCCUCCUCUUUGGCAGAUAUUUUUUGGAAUCAAAACAAUUACAGAUAAAUUUGAAGCCGCUCUGUAUUCCUGCAUCUUUCUCUUCCUCCGUCUUCCACCUUCUCACAGAAAAGUACGGUGUUGGAAUGACCACCAUGCAGAACCUGAAGAAACAGAGGGAUAGACUGUGGAAGUUCAGUGCUGCAAGUGACUCAUAGGAGUUAACGAAAAAUAGGAAAACACUGCGUAAAGCUGAAAAGGAAGAUCUCAACUGCGCACUGGAAAAGUGACCCAUCAAUAUCGCAGUGGACACCUGCCACUUGAUGCUGAUCAUGAAACAAGAAUGAUCUAUUACGAUGAACUGAAAAU